AUUGAACGCUGGCGGCAUGCUUUACACAUGCAAGUCGAACGGUAACAGGCCUUCGGGUGCUGACGAGUGGCGAACGGGUGAGUAAUGCAUCGGAACGUACCAAGAGGUGGGGGAUAACGCAGCGAAAGCUGUGCUAAUACCGCAUGUGAUCUGAGGAUGAAAGCGGGGGACCGAGCAGCAAUGUUUGGCCUCGCGCCUUUGGAGCGGCCGAUGUCGGAUUAGCUAGUUGGUGGGGUAAAGGCCUACCAAGGCGACGAUCCGUAGCUGGUCUGAGAGGACGACCAGCCACACUGGGACUGAGACACGGCCCAGACUCCUACGGGAGGCAGCAGUGGGGAAUUUUGGACAAUGGGCGCAAGCCUGAUCCAGCAAUGCCGCGUGCGGGAAGAAGGCCUUCGGGUUGUAAACCGCUUUUGGCAGGAACGAAACGGUGUCCGCUAAUACCGGGCGCUAAUGACGGUACCUGCAGAAUAAGCACCGGCUAACUACGUG
rnacentral:rRNA from 1 species